UACAGAGGGUGCAAGCGUUAAUCGGAAUUACUGGGCGUAAAGCGUGCGUAGACGGUUAUGUAAGUCGGGUGUGAAAGCCCCGGGCUCAACCUGGGAAUGCCAUUCGAGACUGCAUAGCUAGGGUGCGGAAGAGGGAAGCGGAAUUUCCGGUGUAGCGGUGAAAUUCGUAGAUAUUGGGAAGAACACCGGUGGCGAAGGCGGCGCUCUGGCCCGGUACUGACGCUG
rnacentral:rRNA from 1 species